rnacentral:rRNA from 1 species
GAUGAACGCUAGCUACAGGCUUAACACAUGCAAGUCGAGGGGUAACGAGAGGAAAGCUUGCUUUCCUUGUCGACGACCGGCGCACGGGUGAGUAACGCGUAUCCAACCUGCCCCCAACUAGGGAAUAACUUUGCGAAAGUAAGACUAAUACCCUAUAAUUUCCUCAGAUGACAUCUGACGAGGAAUAAAGAUUUAUCGGUUGUGGAUGGGGAUGCGUCUGAUUAGCUUGUUGGCGGGGUAACGGCCCACCAAGGCAACGAUCAGUAGGGGUUCUGAGAGGAAGGUCCCCCACAUUGGGACUGAGACACGGUCCAAACUCCUACGGGAGGCAGCAGUGAGGAAUAUUGGUCAAUGGGCGGAAGCCUGAACCAGCCAAGUAGCGUGCAGGAUGACGGCCCUAUGGGUUGUAAACUGCUUUUAUACAGGAAUAAAGUUAGCCACGUGUGGUUAUUUGUAGGUACUGUAUGAAUAAGGACCGGCUAAUUCCGUGCCAGCCGCCGCCGUAA